rnacentral:misc_RNA from 1 species
GUAGGUGAACCUGCGGAGGGAUCAUUAAAAAGGAUGGGUCCUGGACCCUUCAUCCCUCAAACCCGUGGAAGUGAGAUGUGCUUCGGCGCCUCUGGGUGUCGAAUCCAUGCCGUUUAGCUCGUGUCUGAAGAAAAACAUAACAUUUAAAACUUUCAACAAAGGAUCUCUUGGCUCUC